rnacentral:rRNA from 1 species
GAAUUUUAUAUAAAUUUUUUUUUAUCAUUAAUUUUUAAAUGUUAAAAAAAUUUUUAUUUUACCGGGAGGAUAAUUAAAUUAUUAAAACUUUAACUAAAUAAAAUUACAUGAAUUAGUGAAAUAUAUAUAAAUUGAUUGGUUUACAAAAUUUGAAAGAAUUAAUUACCUUAGGCAUAGCAGCGUAAUAUUUUUAGGAAGUUCAUAUUUAUAAAAGUGAUUGC